rnacentral:lncRNA from 1 species
ACAAAGAUACCACGCAUACUUGUCAUAAAAUGUAAGGGAAAGCCAACAACACAAAUCAAUUUAAUUACAUUUAAUCUUUCAGAUGAGAAAAAAAAAAAGACAACUAACAAGAAUAUCUAAAUGGUGCAUGCAAUUAAAAUCUACAUCAAACACAGACAACGACAGGUCGAAGCCUUUCAAUAUGUUCUUCUUCCCUUAUUAAGAAUGUACUAAGUAUGACGCCCGG